rnacentral:rRNA from 1 species
GACAGAGGGUGCAAACGUUGUUCGGAAUUACUGGGGCGUAAAGCGCGUGUAGGCGGCUAAGUAAGUCGGGCGUGAAAUCCCACGGCUCAACCGUGGAAGUGCACUCGAAACUGCAUAGCUAGAGUCCUGGAGAGGAAGGUGGAAUGCUUGGUGUAGAGGUGAAAUUCGUAGAUAUCAAGCGGAACACCGGUGGCGAAGGCGGCCUUCUGGACAGUGACUGACGCUGAGACGGCGAAAGCGUGGGGAGCAAACAGGG